rnacentral:rRNA from 1 species
CGUGCGAUUGGAUUGCACGUCUAAGCAGUAAGGCUGAGUAUUAGGCAAAUCCGGUACUCGUUAAGGCUGAGCUGUGAUGGGGAGAAGACAUUGUGUCUUCGAGUCGUUGAUUUCACACUGCCGAGAAAAGCCUCUAGAUAGAAAAUAGGUGCCCGUACCGCAAACCGACACAGGUAGUCAAGAUGAGAAUUCUAAGGUGAGCGAGCGAACUCUCGUUAAGGAACUCGGCAAAAUGACCCCGUAACUUCGGGAGAAGGGGUGCUCUUUAGGGUUAACG